rnacentral:rRNA from 1 species
UACGUAGGGUGCGAGCGUUGUCCGGAAUUACUGGGCGUAAAGAGCUUGUAGGCGGUUUGUCGCGUCUUCUGUGAAAACUUGGGGCUCAACCUUAAGCUUGCAGGCGAUACGGGCAGACUAGAGUACUUCAGGGGAGACUGGAAUUCCUGGUGUAGCGGUGAAAUGCGCAGAUAUCAGGAGGAACACCGGUGGCGAAGGCGGGUCUCUGGGAAGUAACUGACGCUGAGAAGCGAAAGCAUGGGUAGCAAACAG